rnacentral:rRNA from 1 species
CCUACGGGUGGCAGCAGUGGGGAAUAUUGGACAAUGGGGGCAACCCUGAUCCAGCCAUGCCGCGUGUGUGAAGAAGGCCCUCGGGUUGUAAAGCACUUUCAGUGAGGAAGAACGCCUGGUGGUUAAUACCCAUCAGGAAAGACAUCACUCACAGAAGAAGCACCGGCUAACUCCGUGCCAGCAGCCGCGGUAAUACGGAGGGGGCGAGCGUUAAUCGGAAUUACUGGGCGUAAAGCGCGCGUAGGUGGCUUGAUAAGCCGGUUGUGAAAGCCCCGGGCUCAACCUGGGAACGGCAUCCGGAACUGUCAAGCUAGAGUGCAGGAGAGGAAGGUAGAAUUCCCGGUGUAGCGGUGAAAUGCGUAGAGAUCGGGAGGAAUACCAGUGGCGAAGGCGGCCUUCUGGACUGACACUGACACUGAGGUGCGAAAGCGUGGGUAGCAAACAGGAUUAGAUACCCCUGUAGUC